AUACGUAGGGUGCGAGCGUUGUCCGGAAUUACUGGGCGUAAAGAGCUCGUAGGUGGUUUGUCGCGUCGUCUGUGAAAUUCCGGGGCUUAACUCCGGGCGUGCAGGCGAUACGGGCAUAACUUGAGUACUGUAGGGGAGACUGGAAUUCCUGGUGUAGCGGUGAAAUGCGCAGAUAUCAGGAGGAACACCGGUGGCGAAGGCGGGGCUCUGGGCAGUAACUUACGCUGAGGAGCGAAAGCAUGGGUAGCGAACAGGAUUAGAUACCCUGGUAGUCCAUGCCGUAAACGGUGGGCGCUAGGUGUAGGGGUCUUCCACGACUUCUGUGCCGUAGCUAACGCAUUAAGCGCCCCGCCUGGGGAGUACGGCCGCAAGGCUAAAACUCAAAGGAAUUGACGGGG
rnacentral:rRNA from 1 species